rnacentral:sRNA from 1 species
UAAGAAAUACAAAGCCUGUGAAUAACUU